rnacentral:sRNA from 1 species
CCCCAAGCCCGGAGGAGGUGGCUACAUUGUGUCUAUUGUAUCCCUUGGCUGGUGUAUUUGUACAUCUCUCGGGACGUGAAAUUGACAGCGAAAAGUAUGGCAGAUGAGCAAGAAAUCAUGUGCAAAUUGGAAAGCAUUAAAGAGAUCAGGAACAAGACCCUGCAGAUGGAGAAGAUCAAGGCUCGUUUGAAGGCUGAGUUUGAGGCACUUGAGUCAGAGGAAAGGCACCUGAAGGAAUACAAGCAGGAGAUGGACCUUCUGCUACAGGAGAAGAUGGCCCAUGUGGAGGAACUCCGACUGAUCCACGCUGACAUCAAUGUGAUGGAAAACACUAUCAAACAAUCUGAGAAUGACCUAAACAAGCUGCUAGAGUCUACAAGGAGGCUGCAUGAUGAGUAUAAGCCACUGAAAGAACAUGUGGAUGCCCUGCGCAUGACUCUGGGCCUGCAGAGGCUCCCUGACUUGUGUGAAGAAGAGGAGAAGCUUUCCUUGGAAAUGAUCUAGCCAGUGUCUCUCAUCUCCAAAGUUACUUUGAGAAGCAGAAAGCAGAAUGGCAGACGGAACCUCAGGAGCCCCCCAUCCCUGAGUCCCUGGCCGCUGCAGCCGCUGCCGCCCAACAGCUCCAAGUGGCUAGGAAGCAGGACACUCGGCAGACGGCCACCUUCAGGCAGCAGCCCCCACCUAUGAAGGCCUGCUUGUCAUGUCACCAGCAAAUUCACCGGAAUGCACCUAUAUGCCCUCUAUGCAAGGCCAAGAGUCGGUCCCGGAACCCCAAAAAGCCGAAACGGAAGCAGGAUGAAUAAAGA